rnacentral:lncRNA from 1 species
UUUUUUUUUCUUUUUUUUUGGCUGCAUCCAUGGCAUGUGGAAGAUUUCAGGUCAGGGACUAAAGCUGUACCACAGCAGUGACCCGAGCUGCUGCAGUGACAAUGCCAGAUCCUUAACCCACUGAGCUACAAGAGAACUCCAAUAAUUUUAAAAUUUGAAAAGGAUUUUCCUGCUGAUACAACUCUUCCUGGAGCUAUUAAGAGUAUUUUAUAGAGAAAAAGAGUAUUAUAUUGACUAUGACAACAUUGGAUUAAAUUUCUGAUAAAUUAUUUUGAAAUCUAUCUUUUAAUCCAUAUAGAGUUAAUAAUUCAUAUGGAACGAUUUUUCUAAAAAGACUUAACUCUACAUAUGCAUCAGUUUCAUGUAAAUCUGAAUUUCAUUGUAAAUGUAAAUUUAUGUAAUGGAAUUUAAACAUUUUCCCUGACAUUUCCUGUAAUUGUAAAGGUCAUAUAAAAAAUUGAAUGUGGCUUUGUAAUUUGUAUAAAUUCAGGAUGACUGUGUAUGUCUAUUAUUGCAUCUUUAAUUAAGAGGAAAAAUUAAUUGAAAAUUAUCCUUUUCCUUAAUAAUUUGUUCACUUAAAGCUUUGUAUGAAAAUAAUGUUCUUUUCAGUUAAAUGUGACAAUCUUUUGUGUGUGUGUGUGUGUGUGUGUGUGUGUGUGUCUUUUUUGCCAUUUCUUGGGCUGCUCUCGCGGCAUAUGGAGGUUUCCAGGUUAGGGGUCCAGUCGGAGCUGUAGCCACCGGCCUACGCCAGAGCCACAGCAACGUGGGAUCCGAGCCACGUCUGCAACCUUCACCACAGCUCACGGCAACGCCAGGUCCUUAACCCACUGAGCAAGGUCAGAGAUCGAACCCGCAACCUCAUGGUUCCUAGUCAGAUUCGUUAAUCACUGCGCCACAACGGGAACUCCGAAUGUGACAAUCUUAAAUUCAGUUUUUAUUUGUAAACCUGUGACUACUAGAUUUGCAAUACUGAAGCAGUUUUUAAACCUUUGAAAUCGUUAAAAAAAAAAACAAAAUUCAACGUAGUAAAUGUAAAGAUCUAAUUGACUUUAUUUAAUGAUUCAUUAAUUGGGCCACAUCCCAUCUAGCAAAUAGAAAGGUGCACCUUCUGAAAAGCUGUACAAAAAGAAAGGCUUUUUUAUAGGCAAGAGGAGGUGGGGAAAGGAAGCUGCUAGAAGAGUGGAUGUUUCAUGCAAAGUCACCUUCCUAUAGGGGAUGGAUGUUGUCUGUAGGGCAAAUUACCUUACUAGUGCUGACCAGGUAAUUCAAAAGGCUACAUUCAUGGGAGAGGCUGAAACUAAGGUUAGGUUAUUAAAUCUUGGUUUGCUGACAUGGGGCUUAGACUCCAUUUUGGGCCUGUGGUCUCUUUUUUUUAACAGAGUCUAAACUCACUAAAAAAAUUUUAAUAACUUUCAUAUAUGUUUUAUUAUAAUAUCCAUGUGUAUGCUUUCAUUUUAUAAUAAUUUUAAAUGAUUUGUUGACAGUAUUUAUAGCCAGAGUAUUGGCAGUUUCUGUCUGGGUAUUCAGGCCAGAGAGUUAGUAUAUGUCAGAUGCUGCCACCUCUGCUUUUUGUGCUGCUGCUAUCACUAUCACCAACACCAAUCUGGGACCAGAGCCUGGCCCAGGCAUAGGCAAGCGUGACUAUCAGACCAAUUAUUCAACACCCAGGGCGCCUGCUAUGCCCACAUGCAGACACUCGUCUGCAUGUGGUGCUUCCCUCUGUCCCUCUGUGUCUCCUUGCUCAAAGGACUGUUUCACUAUCCUAUUGAACUUUACUUAUAAAAUACAAGUUUAGUCCCAGCCAGGGCAAUCAGAGAAGAAAAUGAAAUAAAAGGAAUCCAAAUUGGAAAGGAAAAAGUAAAACUAUCACUGUUUGCGGAUGACAUAAUGCUAUACAUAGAAAAAAUCCUAAAGAUGCUACCAGAAAACUGUUAGAGCCCAUCAAGGAAUUUGGUGAAGUUGCAGGAUACAAAAUUAAUACAUAGAAAUCGGCUGCAUUUCUAUAUAUUAGCAAUGAAAGAUCAGAAAGAGAAAUUAGGGAAACAAUUCCAUUUCUCAUCGCAUCAUAAAGAAUGAAAUAUCUAGGAAUAGGUGUGUCUAAAGAAAAAAAGACCUGUACUCUGAAAACUAUAAGGCACUGGUGAAAGAAAUCAAAGAUGGAGAUUCCUCAAAAAACUAAAACUGCCCUGAUUCGACCCCUAGCCUGGGAACCUCCAUAUGCAAUGGGUACAGCCCUAAAAAGACAAAAGACAAAUAACGAACAAACAAACAAAAAACUACUAUGAGGUACCACCUUAUACCGCCAGAAUGGCCAUCAUCAAAAAGUCCAUAAACAAUAAAUGCUGGAGAGAGUGUGGAGAAAAGGGAACUGUCUUACACUGUUGGCGGGAAUGUAAAUUGGGUGCAACCAUUAUAGAAAACAGUAUGGAGAUUCCUCAAAAAACUAAAAAUAGAAUUACCAUAUAAUCCAGCAAUCCCAUUCCUGGGCAUUUAACUGAAGAAAACCAUGGCUCAAAAAGAUACAUGUACUCCAAUGUUCAUUGCAGCACUAUGUAAAAUAGCUAAGACAUGAAAGCAACCCGAAUGUCCAUCAACAGAGCAAUGGUAAAGAUGUGGUACAUAUAUACAAUGAAAUAUUACCCAGCCAUAAAAAUGAAUGAAAUAAUGGCAUUUGCAGCAACAUGGAAGGAACUAGAAAUUAUCAUAUUAAGUGAAGUUAGUCAGUGAGAGACAAACAUCAUAUGCUAUCAUUUAUAUGUGGGAUCUACAAAAAGGAUAUAAAUGAAUUUAAUUGCAGAACCAAAACAGACUCACAGACUAUGAAGAAUUUAUGGUUACCAAAGAAGACAGAUGCAGGUGAGGAAGGGGUGGACUAGGGGUUUGGUAUUGGCUUGUGAUGAUGGUUGUACAGCUAUAAACACAAUAAAAUUCACUGAAUUAUUUUAAGAAAACAAAUAACCCCCCAAAAAAACCCACAAGUUCAAUGAUAAAAUUAAGUAUGAGGCCUUUCUGAGAGGGAGGCUCAGAGCCCCAUGAAGCAGCCCUGUAUGGAUUACUAGUAUACUAAUUUUAUACUUCAUUUAUGCUAUAUUACACAAGCAAUCCAACUCCCAAAUACCCUUCUUGAGGGUCUGUUUACUGCAUAAGGAAUAUACUGUCAGUGUCUGUGAAAAUUGAGUCUUCCAGGAAGCAGAUGUCAAGAAGGAAUUAGGAGAGUAAUAGAGUUACUGGACAGUGAAAGCCUUCAGACUUGGUGAUUCCCUUAAAAAUCAGGUAGUCUUAAUUUAGAUAUUAUAAAAAUAUUAAACUAAUUUAAAAACUUUAAAGAAAAUUAAAAUAAGGUUUUCAAAAUUUUUAUUUUAUUUAUUUUUUUUGUCUUUUUUUUUUUUUUUAAUCUUUUUAGGACCGCACCCUUGGCAUAUGGAGGUUCUCAGGCUAAGGGUCUAACUGGAGCUGUAGCUGCUGGCCUUUGCCACUGCCAUAGCAAAUGCCAGAUCUGAGCCACAUCUAUGACCUACACCACAGCUCAUGGCAACACAAGAUCCUUAACCCGCUGAGCGAAGCCAGGGAUUGAACCCACAACCUCAUGGUUCCCAGUAAGAUUCAUUUCCGCUGCACCAUGACGGGAACUCCAAAAAUUUUUUAAUUUGUAAGGAGCUUUCAGGUAUAAAUAGUUAUGUUUCAAAGCAAAUUUACAGGACUUCCCAUCAUGGCUCAGGAGUAACAAAUCUGACUAGUAUUCAUGACAGCACGGGUUCCAUCCCUGGUCUUGCUCAGUAGGUUAAGGAUCUGGUAUUGCCGAGAGCUGUGGUGUAGACUGCAGAUGUGGUGUGAAUCUCGUGUUGCUGUUGUGUAGGCUGUAGCUCUGAUUCAAACCCUAGCCUGGAAAUUUCCAUACGCCAUGGGUGCAGCCCUAAAAAUGCCAAAAAAAAAAAGUAAAUUUAUCAAUGUCAGAACUUCCCAUUAAAGUUUUAAAAACCAUUUUAAGUUCGAAUAUAAAAGCGGAUAGAGAACUUAUGAAUUUGAAAUGCUUCUGCAAAAAUAUACAGUGGAAAAAAGACAGUCUGUUCAACAAGUGAUGUUGAGAAAGUUAGACAGCUGCAUGCAAAUCAAUGCAGUCAGAACACACCCUCACAUCACACAUAAAAAUAAAUUCAAAAUGGCUUAAAGACAAAUAUAAGACAUGAUGCCAUAAAACUUUUAGAAGAGAACAAAGGCAAAACAUUCUCUGACAUAAAUCGUAUCAAUGUUUUCUUAGGUCAGUCUCCCAAGGCAAUAUAAAUAAAAACAAAAAUAAACAAAUGGGACCUAAUCAAACUUAUAAGCUUUGAAAACAUAGAGCAAAGGAAACCACAAGCAAAAGGAAAAGAUGACUGAUGGACUGGGAAAAAAUAUUUGCAAACAAUGAGACUGACAAGGGCUUAAUUUCCAAAAUACACAAACAGCUCAUACAAUUCAAUAAGAAAAAACAAACAACCUAACUUAAAAAAUGGGCCAAAAACCUAGCUAGACAUUUCUCCAAAGAAGAAAUACAAGUAGUCAAUAGGUACAUGAAAAGAUGCUCAAUAUUGCUCAUUAUUAGAGAAAUGCAAAUCAAAACUAUAAUGAGGUAACAUCUCACACUGGUCAGAAUGGCCAUUAUUAAGAAAAAAAAGUCCACAAAUAACAAAUGCUAGAGAGAGAGUGUGGAGAAAAGGGAACCCUCUUACAUUGUUGGUGGGGAUGUAAUGUGGUGCAGCUACUAUGGAAAAGAGUAUGGCGUUUUUCUUAAAAAACUAAAAACAGGAGUUCCCUUGUGGCUCAGAUGGUUAAAGACAUGGCGUUGUCCCUACUGCUGCUCUGGUGUCAGCUAUGGUGUGUGUUUGAUUCCUGGCCUGGGAACUUCUGCAAUCUGUGGACACAGUGAAAAAAUAAAAAAUAAAAAAAACACACAAAAAACCUAAAAACAGGGUUACCACACGAUCUUGUAAUCCCAUUCCUGGGCAUACAUUCAGAGAAAACUAUAAUUCAAAAAUAUACCUGCACCCCAAUGUUCACAGAAGCACUAUUUACAACAGCCAAGACAUGGAAGCAAUCCAAAUGUCCAUCAACAGAUGACUGGAUAAAGAAGAUGUGGCCUACACACACACACACACACACACGCACACACACACACUGGAAUAAUACUCAGCCAUAAAAAAGAACAUGUAGUAACAUGGAUGGACCUAGAGACUAUCAUACUAAGUGAAGUAAACCAGAAAGAGAAAGACAAAUAUCAUAUGAUACCAAUUAUCUGUGGAAUCUAAAAUAUGAUACACAUGAACUUAUUUACAAUUAGAAACAGACUCACAAACAUAGGAAACAAACUCAUUAAAACUGAGGGGAAAAGGGGGUGGAUGAGGGGUAAAUUAGGAGUCUGGGAUUAUCAGAUACAAACUACUAUAUACAGGAUGAAUAAAUAACAAAGUCUUACUGUAUAGGACAGGGAAAUCUAUUCAAUGUCCAUAAUGGAAAGGAGUAUGAAAAAGAAUGUAUGUACGCAUGUGUAUAACUGAAUCACUUUGCUGUAUACCUGAAACUAACACAUUGUAAAUCAAUCACGCUUCAAUUUUUAAGAAACGCCUCUGUAUUUUGGAGAGCUAUCUUCAAAAGGCCAUGAUAAAAAUAGAAAACUAUUUUGGGAGAUCCUGUUGUGGGCUUAGCAGCUUAGGAAUCUGAUCAGUAUCAAUGAAGAUGCAGGUUGGAUCCCUGGCCUUGCUCAGUGGUGGGUUAACGAUCCGGUGUUGCUGUGAGCUGUGGUGUAGGUUGCAGAAGCAGCUCGGAUCCUGUGUUGCUGUGGCUCUGGUGUAGGCCGGGGGCUACAGCUCCGAUUGGACCCCUACCCUGGGAACCUCCAUAUGCCGUGGGAGCGGCCCAAGAAAUGGCAAAAAGACAAAAAAAAAAAAAAAAAAAAGGAGGGGAAUUUGUGCAGCACUACAUACAAUAGCCAAGACAUGGAAACAACCUAAAAGUCCAUUGACCGAAGAGUGGAUAAGGAAGAUGUGGUACAUUGUAUAUUGUAUAGUAUUCUAUACAAUACACAAUGGAAUAUUACUCAGCCAUUAAAAGGAAAGAAAUAACCAUUUUUAGCAACAUGGAUGGACCUAGAAAUUAUCAUGCCUAAGUGAAGUUAGUCAGACAGUGAGACACCACCAUCAUAUGCUAUCAUUGAAAUGUGGAAUCUAAAAAAAGGACACAAUGAACUUCUUUGCAGAGAGAUACUGACUCUCAGACUUUGAAAAAUUUAUGGUUUCCAAAUGAGAGAGGUUGGGGGUGGGGGAUGGGCUGGGGGUUUGGGAUGAAAAUACUAUAAAAUUGGGUUGUGAUGAUCAUUGUACAACUGUAAAUGUAAUAAAAUUCAUUGAGUAACUAAAAACAAUUUUGGAUGAGCUCACAUCCUGCCUCUUAUCUUCCCAACAUAAUUAUAUCAUAAUUUUUAAUAAAAAUCAUUAAUAUUUGCAAAAAAAAAAGAAGAGGGGAAUUUGGACACAGACAGAUGAAAGAAGACCGUGUGGAGAGAAAGGCAGGGAUUAUAGUUAUGCUGCCAUAAGCCAAGGAUUACCAGCAGCCACCAGAAUAUAGGAGAGAAGCACGUAAUGGAGAUUUCCUCUGAGUCCCUAGAAGGAACCAACCCUCCGUGCACCUUGAUUUUAGACUUCUGGCCUCCAGAGCUGUGAGAUAAUAAAUUCCUUUUGUUUUAAACCACUGGGUUUAUGGUAAUUUUUACAACAGCCCUCGGAAACUGACAGAGACACCAGCAGCUGUUUUUUCACACUCUACCAGCAGCAGCUGGGCAUCUCUCCCUUAGUCUGGCCUGCACCCUCAUCCAGUAGGGAGGGAGGUCUGAUUCUUUUUUUCUUCCUUUUUCCUUUUUGUGGCCACAUGUGCAGCAUUAUGGAAGUUCCCAGGCUAGGGGUCUAGUCGGAGCUGCUGCUGCCAGCCUA